rnacentral:rRNA from 1 species
UACCAGCACCCCGAGUGGUCGGGACGUUUAUUGGGCCUAAAGCAUCCGUAGCCGGUUUUACAAGUCCUCCGUUAAAUCCAACUGCUUAACAGAUGGGCCGCGGAGGAUACUAUAAGACUAGGAGGCAGGAGAGGCAAGCGGUACUCAGUGGGUAGGGGUAAAAUCCGUUGAUCCAUUGAAGACCACCAGUGGUGAAGGCGGCUUGCCAGAAUGCGCUCGACGGUGAGGGAUGAAAGCUGGGGGAGCAAACCGG